CGCAGGUUCGAAUCCUGCACGACCCACCAGUUUUAGCAUCGAAGACAGAUGUUAAGCGUGUAGGAUAACGUUGCGUCAGCAACGGCCCGUAGGGCGAGCGAAGCGAGUCAUCCUGCACGACCCACCA
rnacentral:sRNA from 1 species